rnacentral:rRNA from 1 species
GGACGAACGCUGGCGGCGUGCCUAAUACAUGCAAGUAGAACGCACAGUUUAUACCGUAGCUUGCUACACCAUAGACUGUGAGUUGCGAACGGGUGAGUAACGCGUAGGCAACCUGCCUGGUAGCGGGGGAUAACUAUUGGAAACGAUAGCUAAUACCGCAUAAUAUUGAUUAUUGCAUGAUAAUUGAUUGAAAGAUGCUAUUGCAUCACUACCAGAUGGACCUGCGUUGUAUUAGCUAGUAGGUGAGGUAACGGCUCACCUAGGCGACGAUACAUAGCCGACCUGAGAGGGUGAUCGGCCACACUGGGACUGAGACACGGCCCAGACUCCUACGGGAGGCAGCAGUAGGGAAUCUUCGGCAAUGGACGAAAGUCUGACCGAGCAACGCCGCGUGAGUGAAGAAGGUUUUCGGAUCGUAAAGCUCUGUUGUAAGAGAAGAACGGGUGUGAGAGUGGAAAGUUCACACUGUGACGGUAUCUUACCAGAAAGGGACGGCUAACUACGUG